AUCUUUUUUGUCACAACUUUAGUGAGAUGUAUUUUACAUGCUGUAAAAUUUAACUUUUUUUAAAAUUUUUAUUUAUUUAUUAUAUGUAAGUACACUGUAGCUGUCUUCAGACACUCCAGAAGAGGGCAUCAGAUUUCGUUACGGAUGGUUGUGAUCCACCAUGUGGUUGCUGGGAUUUGAACUUGGGACCUUUGGAAGAGCAGUUGGUGCUCUUAACCACUGAGCCAUCUCUCCAGCCCUAAAAUUUAACUUUUUGAAAGGUAUUCAGUGGUUGUAGUAUAUUCAUGACAUGCAACAAUCAGCAUGAUCAAUCUCUUGAACCUUUUUAUCCUUGUCUCCUGCUAAAGUUGCUUCAUACUCAUUAUUAGUCAGUUCCUAGUAUUUUUCUCCCUGCUCCUCCCCCACCUCCAUAGUCCAUAUAAAUGAUUCCAUGUAACCAAGCAUGAUAGAUAGUGUGUGCCUUUAGUUUCAGUACAUGAGAAGUGGAAGCAGGCAGACCUGUGUGAGUUCAUGAGCAGCCUGGUCUACAUAGCAAGCUCCAAGCCAGCCAGCUCUACAUAUGACUGUCUCAAAAAUUAAAAAAAAAAAAAAGAUUCCAUGUGUAAUAUACUGCACUGGCCUCUUUCACUUAAAAAUAAUGUUUUCCAGGGGCUAAGGAAAUGGCUCAGUCAGUACAGUGCUUGCUGUACAAGCACGAGGAGGACCUGAGUUCAACCCCAAGAACCCAUGUAAAAAACCCCAGGCAUUGUGGUACACACUUGUAUUCUGUCCACUGGGAAAGGAAAGCUAGGCUGGUCCACGGGGCUCAAUAAUGGCUUGGGCAGCCUAGCUUACUUGUCGCUCCAGACCAGUGAAAGAUCAUAUCUCAAAAAUGAGGUGAGUGGCACCUAAAGUGAGACACUCAAGAUUGACCUUUGGUCUCCAUGUGCACAUGCACAAAAAAAUGUUUUCCAAGUUCAUCCAUGUUGUUAUAUAUGUUGCUUAUUUUUAUUACAAGAUAAUAUUCUAUUGUACGGAUAUUCUGUGUUUUGUGUAUCCAUUGGUCAGUUGAUAAGCAUUUCAGCUUCUAUAUUUUUGCAGAUUUUCUUGAAUGUCUGUGUGGAAGUGUUUAUGUGAAUGUUUUCUUCUCUCCUUAAUAGAAUCACUGUGUCGUAUGGCAUCUAUAUUUAACUUUUCUGAGGAAAACUUGUUUGUACAGGUGCCUCUACCAUUUUGUAUCCACUAACAAUGUAAGCAUGUGGCAGUUUCUCCACAUCGUCAUCAGCACAUUGUUUUGCCGUUUUGUUUUUGUUCUGCCUUUGAAUAUAGAUAUUCUAGUAAGUAUAAAAUAGUAUCUCAUGAUGGUUUUGAUUUUCAUUUCAUAAUAGUGCUCUGAAAUCCCCUUUUCUGCAUUUAUUCUCUUUGUGUAUAAUCAUUAAAGAAAUAUCUAUUUAAACACUUAGUCAUUUUUAAUUGGAUUAUUUAUUAUCCUUACAGUCUUGAGGUAUGAGAAGUUUUUGUUUUUGCUUUGAUAUCUGAAUAGAAGACCCUUGUCAAAAAUAGUAAUUGCAAAUACUUUGUCCUGAUCUCUGGGUUGUCCUUUUGUUUUCUUCACUGUGUCUUUUUUCCCCCUAAGACAAGGUCUCUCUGUGUAUCCCUGGCUGUCCUGGAAUUUGUUGUAUAUACCACGCUGGGCUUGAAUUCAGACAUCUGCCUUCCUCUCUGCCUCUUUGAUACACAGAAAUUUUACAUUUUGAUGAAGUCCAAUUAAUAUCUUUUUCCAUUUGUCACUUGGGCUUUUGGUGUGGUCCAAGAAAUCAUUGUUUAACUCGGUAUCACAAAGAUGGAUUUCUGUGUUUUCUUCUAGGAACUUUAUAGCUUUAGGUCUUCAUAUUUAGAUUGAUGAGCCAUUUAACUUAAUUUUUCUGUUUGGUGUGAAGUAGGGCUCUGUCUUAAUCUAUUUUGUGUUGCUACAACAGAAUGGCUGAAACUGGGUAAUUUAUAAAGAAAAGAAACUUGUUCACUGUUCUUGAGGCCAAGAAGUCCAAGACCAAGGGUGAGCGCCUUCUUGCUGUCAGAACAGACACUGUGUAAUGGAAACAGGUCUCUUUCUCUUCUUAGGAAGUCACACAUCACUAUAUCAUCCUUAGUGAGGUAACUCAAUCACAAAAGAAGUCACAUGAUAUGCACUCACUGAUAAGUGGAUAUUAGCCCAGAAACAUAGAACACCCAAGAUACAAUUUGCAAAACACAAGAAAAUCAAGAAGAGGGAAGACCAAUGGGUGGAUACUUCAUUCCUCCUUAGAAUAGGGAACGAAAUACCCAUGAAAGGAGUUACAGAGACAAAGUUUGGAGCUAAGACGAAAGGAUGGGCUAUCCAGAGACUACCCCACCCAGGGGUCCAUCCCAUAAUCAGCCACCAAACCCAGACACUAUUGCAUAUGCCAGCAAGAUUUUGAUGAAGGAUAGCAUUUGAAAUUUGAAAUGUAUAUAAAGAAAAUAUCUAA
rnacentral:lncRNA from 1 species